ensembl:lncRNA
ACAGGGUUGUGCAAUAUUGACACAGCAAACAAAAUGGUAAGAAUACGACCCUGACAAUACUCGUGCCACACAAAGCAUCUCUGAUGACAAAAUAUAUUGUGUAUAUUUGUCAAAUAGGAAGCGACCCAGCUACAAAGGACCCAGCAGAAUUCCUCUGUUCUCUCCCCUCUCCACUCUUCCACCUCAACACUCGUCUUCACUGUCACUUCAGCCUUGUGCAGGCAGGACUCUGGACGAGAGUAUGCUUAGUACACAGUUACACACAUAGCAACCCCUCCUCCUGUGUGUGUUCGACCAAUAUUGACUCAGUCUCUAGCCUAACACUGCCACUAUUGAGUUUGGCCAUUCAAAAUGCUGUUUGGGGAACAUUAGAGUUACAGUAAAAUAACAGCCGUGCACAACCCUCCCCUUCACUUCGCUGCUGGGAACGCAGAUCAGGAAGUGAGGUCAUAUGUAGCAGGUGUGUGGUAAGUUGCGACACUGCGGAGAGCCUUCUGAACAGUACUACUUAAAUAUUAACACAUUUCCACGUUACUCCAACAUCGACUAGUUUAGGCUAGGAAUAGGAUCUACUAUUUGACCAAGGUGACAUCGGGUUAUUUCUCUAUCAGGAGCAAUGGAAAGGUGAAUAACCUUGGCAGUGUCUGUGUUUCUCACUGACCUGAUAACAACUUUAUAGCCUUUAAACAAGCGCUGCUUCAGUAUUGGCUAUUACUACAGCACUCGUUUACUCAAACAACAUAAUCAGUGUUUUAUCACCUGCUAUGGAGAAACUGAAUGGAAAAUAUGCGCUUCCUGGGAUGAUCCUUAUUGUCCAUAAAGCAAGACUGUGCCAUCUAUGUGUAAUAAAACAAAGGUGGGAGGGAAGCAGAGAGAUUAUACCAUAGACAGUUGAUUAAUUAACUAUGAUGGGGAGUAGUGCCACCUUCUGGACAGAGAAUUUCUGCCUGAUUUAUUAUUAUCUAUUUGCCUUAACAAGUUUCUGUGUUAUAUUCGACAAACAUGUACACCAUUUUGCUAUUUUUUUUUUUCUCUCUCACCUUAUUAACUAUUAGAAACUAUUUACCAGAUUAACUGAUGUGCGCUCAGAUCGUAUGACCAUUUGUGUUAUGAGUGAUUCCAUGAAUGGGAUGCCAUUUAACCCUUUGAAUCAUUUUUCAACGCUGAAUCUAAGAGAACAAGCAAUUAACCAGAGUUGAACGCAUCUCAGCCUUUUUUUUUUUUUUUUUUUUUUUUUUUUUUUUUUUUUACAAGGUUCCUGUGCUGACAGGCAACAUUUUGCUUUUAAAUAUGUAAAACGGUUGAGGUUUUUAGCACAGAAUUAGGAAAUACACAAAAUGGGGUGAACUAGUACCCAUGCUAAUGACUUGCAGACAUUAACGACUUUACAAAAAAUAUAAUUUUUAAAAAUGAAUAAUUUACUUUCAGUCAAUGAUUUGGGUAACAGGGUUGUCAAUAUCAUAAUAGGAAAAUAAAGAGGGGAAAAAAAUAAGAGAACUUACUUUUCUUCUUCCUAUGAUCAUCAGGAGGUUUGGAUGAUGAACUUGUGGAAUAUCCGACAUGUUCAUAGGGGUAACGAAAAUGCACAUUUUUCAUAACAUGGUGUUUCGGUAAACAUACGUGGGUAGCAGUGGGCAAACAGACGUGUUGGAGGAGCCUCGGCGUCCUGAUGUUAGUUGUGCAAACCCGGCGCUGUGCAAACAGCUUCAAAGAACGUGGUCACCUCCUCCUGGCUCUUUGAUGUAGGUAUUGAUUGAGGUGAGACGGCUGUGGGGAAGGGAAAGAGAGAAGGAGAGGGGAAGCUACAGUUUGCCAGGACACAGACCAGCCGGAAAUCAGGUCGGUCCCUCGGGAAACGUCAGCGAGUUCCUCUAUCCAUGAUUAAACAGACUCAUGUCCCUUCUGCCAAGUGUCACACACACACACACACACACACACACACACACACACACAGUGACACAUAUCAAAUGUCCCUCUAACAGAUGCACUUCAUCAGUAUCGGUCCAUAUUCUUAAGGCUGGUUUAACUCUGACAUUUUGCUACCUUUUUAAAAGUGCAUCUCUUGGGCUUAUUAUUCAGUUAUUUAUGUUAGAAUAUAUUCUUCAGUACAUUCUCAGAGUUAUUCCCACACUAAUUAAAAAAAAAGAACAUAUCUUUAUUGGUGUUAUACAUUUAACACAUUGCAUACUGUACAUGCAACUGAACCUUUCCCCAAAACAUGGCAGUGUAUGAAAUAAAAACAAAUGUACUGGGAAAAAAAAAGUAUACUCACAAACAUCUGGCAGAGUAUGGCACAUAUUUUCACCAUACAGUAGAUUAGUCAAUUACACCUUAACUUCACACUUGCAAAGCCUCUUCAAUGUCACCAUUUUUGACAAAUUCCUUCCUCACUGCAUAUGUGAGUGUCUCAAGAGCCAAAAUUGAUAUUAAGCUUUUCAACCAGUGUCUAACUAACAUUCUCCCACCAUGGCAAUCGAGCAUCUAGCUUGUAGUAUACAUGGGUCAACCAUUGUCCUUUCACUAUUCGAGAGAGGACAGUUGUCUACUAUGUAGAUGCUUCAUAUACACAGUUUAGCAUUCAAUGGUAUUGGGGAAGAGGUAGUUUGAGAGAUGUAUAGCGAAUCACCGCAUCCCAAAUUUUUUAAUCUCCUCACAUUCCCAUGUACAGUGAAAAGAAAAGAAAAAAAGCACCUUGAUGAUUAUUGCACUUAUAGCAUUGUUCAGGAAUAUUAGUUCAAUUGAUUUAACUUAAUGUAAUAGCGUGAUGUACAUUCUCAUUAUCCAAUUGUAUUGUAUUAAUCACAGUUGAGUAUUGAUGGUUUGUGUUUGUGCCUUUGAACACACUAUACCCCGUUCAUCCAAUGAGGAUGUCUUCUUGUAAGUCUGGAACUACAGUAAAUUUAAUGGGAAAUGAAUCUAGUAAGAAGAGUGAGGAAUGAGGAGGAGUGAGGAAUGAGGAGGAGUGAGGAAGUCCUGAGCCAGCAAAUGCUCCUGGGAGUUUAUGUGACAAGGGGUGAGGUUAACGGUCAUACAAACUCCAAUAAAUUCCUCUGAAUUAUUAGAAUUUGUGUGAUUUAUUUUAUAUUGGAUUGUCAUCAGAGUGUCCUUCAGUAGGCCUCAGACACCCACAGUCUCCAACCCUUAAACAUGUGCUCUCAGUUCUCUCAGUUUCUGCUUCGAAGCUCCAGAGGCUGAAUGAGUGCAGGCUGAAAUUACUGCUUUCAUUUCCAAUUUCCAUUUGCAUUAGGAGAAGAGAGAGUGCGAGAGAAAAAAACCCAAAAAGAGCUCUCCGUCUCUGAGCACUGUGUUCAGCUGGAGCUGAGGGUCUUGAGCUGUGAGAGCCCUCGAAGCCGCCAUCUGACUCUGAGACCUUUACAGAGCUGCGCUUUGUUAAUGCAUGCUAAUCCUAUGUCCUGUCUCAUGUGCAUGAGAAUGUGUUUCCUGGAAAUUACACUUGAUGGCUCUGUCUUGCACAAUUAAAACGAACCACUUUGAUAUGUAUUUGGCAUUUUGUCUGGGGAGUGUGUUUACACAUGUUUGCAUUGUUUUAUUGGUUGUUCACUAGACCUUACCUCUUCAACUGAUACGUUACUCAGGGUCAGAGUAGAUGUUUCUUGUACAACGAACAAUUCUUCUGUAAUCAAACUGCUAUUAACGUUAUCGCUUCUGCACUAAAGAUUGUCAGGAGCCAAAGGCUUUACCUUGAGUAAAUUAUGCGUUGCUUGCUUCAGGGCCAGAGUGAUAGUAUUUGUCUCUCUCUCUCUCUCUCUCUCUCUCUCUCUGACACACACUCUUAUCACCCGCUCACACACUCAAUCUCAAACACAAGCAGGUUGUAAAUCAGCUCUAAAGCAGCCCACUCUUAAAACCGGCUCGAGUUGCUUUUGUAUGCAAGAGCUUUUUUUAUCAGCCACUCAGACCACAAUAACAGACAAAAUGCGAUUUCCUCUUUUCACAUGAUAAAUGAGUCACUUAUUCACUGAUUAUAGAAUACACAAGCAUGAAGCGUUCAGCGUGGGAUUUCUCAACACUGCCUAAUCCACAUACUAAAGAGCCUUUUGGAUUGGUGCAGAGUGCACAGCACCUUUGCCAAAUCCAUUCCCCGAGCACUUGUGCUACAUCGCCGAAAUGUUCUGCUACAGCAUCCAAAACGUUGGCCAAACGCAGCAGUAAAGCUUGAGGUGGCAAAGCCAGACUUCUCCCUGUCAGAACAAUUAGUAUUGCAGCAGCUGGAAGAGCUUCAAUGCUUUAAGUCGUAUUAGGUGUUUCACACGCAAGCUGCCAGGGCCACUGCACAGCUCCAUGGCCAUUUAAGUCCUCCAACCAAGAGCCUUGACAUUGCCAGGCCCAAACAAGCCACACAAUCACGCCGUAAAUGGCCCGAGCAAUGUAGGAGGAAGCAUGGAGGGAUUUGACAGCAACUAUUUUUAUUCUUUAUUUUUAUUCCAGCCUGUGAGCUAGCAGUAAUUAUAUUAUUGUUGUUAUUGUUAUUGUUUAUUAUUAUUAUUAUUAUUAUUAUUAUUAUUAUUUGUACAUCCAUCAUGCGGAAUUGUACAGCAUGAUGUAAUUUUGAAACAUGGACGAUAUUGACACUAAUUGUGAGAGAGGGGAAAGAAAGAGAUCCCAUUCUGGGACUCACUAUGCUUACAUCGGCAGGCAAGAGAGAAAACACUGAGCCCUAUUUUGGCUGUAAUGAUUAUCCGCUAACAAUUCCUUCCUUCACUUGUGGUGAAAACACCCCUGAGCUUUCAUUGUUUUUGGCUCUGUUGCCUCGAGUAAUCCUCGCCUUGGCAUUCUGACGGAGAACUAGCUUAACACCAAUCGCAGCAAUUGUCUUGGUCUUUUGUGGCAGUGGCAGUAGCGUAGAACGAAGCUGUGUCGCACCAGUGCUACUGUACCGAUGAGCAAAUGUGAUGACCAUGGACAUGUUUAGCAGUGCGUACAAGCCAACCCAAACCAAAAGGCUCUCUGUUUUUGUACUGAAAACAUGAUGCCGUGCCUCUGGAAACAAG